GUCCGGCUGGCUCAGUUGGUAGAGCAUGCGACUCAUGAUCUCGGGGGGUCGUGGGUUUGAGCCCCACGUUGGGCG